rnacentral:misc_RNA from 1 species
GUGAAUCAUCGAAUCUUUGAACGCACAUUGCGCCCUUUGGCAUUCCGAAGGGCAUGCCUGUUCGAGCGUCAUUAUCACCCCUCAAGCCCCCCUUCUUAACUGAAGCCGGCUUGGUGUUGGACGGCUUGGUGUCAGCAAUGUCACCCCUCCUAAAGACAAUGACGGCGGCUUCGUGAGACCCCCGGUACACUGAGUUCCUCACCGAACACGUACUGGAUCAUGGGUAGACGGAGCCCCGGUCGACCUCCCUUCACAGGGAGAUUUCUUCUCAGGUUGACCUCGGAUCAGGUAGGAAUACCCGCUGAACUUAAGCAUAUCAAUAAGCGGAGGA